rnacentral:rRNA from 2 species
AACGAACGCUGGCGGCAGGCUUAACACAUGCAAGUCGAGCGCCCCGCAAGGGGAGCGGCAGACGGGUGAGUAACGCGUGGGAAUCUACCUUUUGCUACGGAAUAACGCAGGGAAACUUGUGCUAAUACCGUAUGUGUCCUUCGGGAGAAAGAUUUAUCGGCAAGAGAUGAGCCCGCGUUGGAUUAGCUAGUUGGUGGGGUAAAGGCCUACCAAGGCGACGAUCCAUAGCUGGUCUGAGAGGAUGAUCAGCCACAUUGGGACUGAGACACGGCCCUAACUCCUACGGGAGGCAGCAGUGGGGAAUAUUGGACAAUGGGCGCAAGCCUGAUCCAGCCAUGCCGCGUGAGUGAUGAAGGCCCUAGGGUUGUAAAGCUCUUUCACCGGAGAAGAUAAUGACGGUAUCCGGAGAAGAAGCCCCGGCUAACUUCGUGCCAGCCGCCGCGGUAA